GUAGUUUGAUCCGUGGCUCGAGACGACGCUGGCGGCGUGCUUAACACAUGCAAGUCGAACGGUAAGGCCCUUCGGGGUACACGAGUGGCGAACGGGUGAGUAACACGUGGGUGAUCUGCCCUGCACUUCGGGAUAAGCCUGGGAAACUGGGUCUAAUACCGGAUAGGACUCCUGGCUUCAUGGUUGGGGGUGUAAAGCUUUUGCGGUGUGGGAUGGGCCCGCGGCCUAUCAGCUUGUUGGUGGGGUAAUGGCCUACCAAGGCGACGACGGGUAGCCGGCCUGAGAGGGUGACCGGCCACACUGGGACUGAGAUACGGCCCAGACUCCUACGGGAGGCAGCAGUGGGGAAUAUUGCACAAUGGGCGCAAGCCUGAUGCAGCGACGCCGCGUGAGGGAUGACGGCCUUCGGGUUGUAAACCUCUUUCAAUAGGGACGAAGCGCAAGUGACGGUACCUAUAGAAGAAGGACCGGCCAACUACGUG
rnacentral:rRNA from 1 species